GGCGGCUUUUCAUAGGUAGUAGCGGUCUUGAAAACCGUUAGGAUGCAAGCCCGCAUGGGUUCGAAUCCCAUCCUCUCCGCCA
rnacentral:tRNA from 1 species